AUUCUCACUUCGGCAGCACAUAUACUAAAAUUGGAACGAUACAGAGAAGAUUAGCAUGGCCCCUGUGCAAGGAUGACAUGCAAAUUCAUGAAGCGCUCAAUAUUUUU
rnacentral:snRNA from 1 species